AGAGUUUGAUCCUGGCUCAGAUUGAACGCUGGCGGCAUGCCUUACACAUGCAAGUCGAACGGCAGCGCGGGGCAACCUGGCGGCGAGUGGCGAACGGGUGAGUAAUAUAUCGGAACGUACCCUGGAGUGGGGGAUAACGUAGCGAAAGUUACGCUAAUACCGCAUACGAUCUAAGGAUGAAAGCAGGGGACCGCAAGGCCUUGUGCUCCUGGAGCGGCCGAUAUCUGAUUAGCUAGUUGGUGGGGUAAAGGCCUACCAAGGCAUCGAUCAGUAGCUGGUCUGAGAGGACGACCAGCCACACUGGAACUGAGACACGGUCCAGACUCCUACGGGAGGCAGCAGUGGGGAAUUUUGGACAAUGGGCGCAAGCCUGAUCCAGCAAUGCCGCGUGAGUGAAGAAGGCCUUCGGGUUGUAAAGCUCUUUUGUCAGGGAAGAAACGGUGAGAGCUAAUAUCUCUUGCUAAUGACGGUACCUGAAGAAUAAGCACCGGCUAACUACGUGCCAGCAGCCGCGGUAAUACGUAGGGUGCAAGCGUUAAUCGGAAUUACUGGGCGUAAAGCGUGCGCAGGCGGUUUUGUAAGUCUGUCGUGAAAUCCCCGGGCUCAACCUGGGAAUUGCGAUGGAGACUGCAAGGCUAGAAUCUGGCAGAGGGGGGUAGAAUUCCACGUGUAGCAGUGAAAUGCGUAGAGAUGUGGAGGAACACCGAUGGCGAAGGCAGCCCCCUGGGUCAAGAUUGACGCUCAUGCACGAAAGCGUGGGGAGCAAACAGGAUUAGAUACCCUGGUAGUCG
rnacentral:rRNA from 1 species